UUUGCUGUCCCGGGCUGCCUGCUCCGGGGCACUCUUUAAAGUACGCUUCAUCGUAGGCGCCAGCCACGUUCUCCACAUCCGCGAGGCGGCAGUCCCACCUCCAGGUUCACAACCCUGAGACCGCCUGGGGCACUACGCCGCCGCCUUUCGCCACGGUUCUAGGCCCAAAGGAGGCCCAAUUAGUGACGAGGAGCCACCUCUUGUCCUCAAGCCUUGCCUUGGCAAGCUCUGCAUCCUCCACCCCACCGGGACCACAUCUGUGACCUGGACCAGGACAGCAUUGCUGAAGCCUCUCAUACAACUCUCUAGAGAAAGCUGGGGAGGAAAUAACGUGAAGUGCAAAAGAAGAAAAAGCACAGAACGAACCAGCACUUCGAAAGGCUUUUCCAUCUUAGCCUGAUACCUCUAUUGGACUGUUAGUAUAAUAAUUACAUUCCACAUUUUUGUGACUCAUGUGCUCUUUGGUAUUGGAUUUAGAUGAAAUAAAGCAGCUGUCAAAUACAUACAGCCAGGACAACUGGGUCAUCAGCUGUUUUUAAACUUUUGGAAACAAGUAGGGGUGAAAAAUUUCCUUUUGAUGUAGCAUUAAGAUAGGAUGGAGUAGGCACACGCCACCUGCCUGUCCCGGUAAAUGCAGCUCCAAGACCUGGAGAGAACGCACAAAGCAGCUACGUGAGGACUCUAAACAGUCAACAGUAGCAGGCAGAGUGGGGAAGACCAGAAUUUGAAGCACCACCAAACCAGCCACAAGCAAUCUCAUGGGGGCAGCAGAAAUGAAGGCAAGAGGAGCCUACAGAAGCCACGUCAGAUGGGAGGAGUUGUGGUCCCAGUAGGGUGGGUGGACCCCCACUGCUUCACUUCUCUCUCGCCUCCCCAUCAUUUUGGCCCCAGAGAUAUAGGCACAGUCGUGCGACUACUUGGCAGAGUGGGGUAACCAAAGCCCCAGAUUUCCUUCCAGAGAACCAACAUGGGAAGCCCCAGGAAACCAGAAAGCAGGUGAGAUUCAGAGGGAAAUAAGCUCAGGAAAGCAACCAUAUUUGCAGUCUAAACUCAGAGAAUGAACCUUUCUUCUUUUUGAGGGGGGUUGGGGGGAUGGAGAGGGGGUAGGAAAGCAAAUAUGAUAGGUAGGGAAAAUGUUUUUGUUAUUUGGAUUUUUAAAAAAUAUUUUAUUUAUUUAUUUGACA